GUAAUUACGCAAGCCAGGCCAAAACGCUGCGUUUGGUUUUGCAGAAUUCAUCAUCUUCUUCGCUGUGUUCAUCGCCAUCCACAACGGUUCUUGGCUGGAAUUCUAGGUUUUGCGCGAAUCUCCAUGGAAAUGCAUGAACUAUAUACCGGUCGAACCGGUUUUUCACCAGGAUUGUAAAUAUGGAAUCGAUUUCAACUAUAGAUUACUGUACAAGACGAAUCGAAGGAAAAAAGAAAGCGCUUCGAAACCUAGAUUCGCAAUAACUCAAUCGAUUUCCACCAAUUUCUAAUUCUACAAACUGAUAUGGUGAGAUGCUUCAUAUUAGAUGUUGUCGGUGUUGACAAUUUAAGCUAUCUUGAAAGUCGAUUCCCAACCUUUUCCGGAAACAGUUGCGAUGGAACCGCGGAUUCUGUGCGAGUGAGCUUUGGAUUGCCAGAACAGGUGGUCUUUAAUUGCUUUGGAUGCGCAAGGAUGCUUCAGGAUAGUUCAAAUGCGCUUCAAGAAUCAACAAUCUGCAUCUGUCAUAGAUUUUCUUCUGCCGUGACAGUAGGAUUCUUGCUCAAUCUUUCCCUUCAAUCUCUGCGAACAGCACCUACACAGCACCUGUAAAUGAUGAAUUCACCAUGGAAUUGUACCAAUGAUUAGUAGAAAAUGCUCAAUUGAUGAAGAAAAUGUUAUGAAAUUUUUUUGGUAAAAAAUGGGAGAAGAAUGAGAGAAAAUGGCUUUUUUGAUCUUCUGUUAUGAUUCUCAAAGUGUGAUUAUGCAGUUGUUAUCCCCAAACUCAUUCUGUUAGAGAUUAGCUUUUUAUAUCCAUCUCUUAAUCCAUCCUUAAUCAAGAUUAAUGACCAAAAUGAGAUUUUCCCAAAAAUUAAGCUUAUGUGCAAUUUGGAUUUUUUUUCUUUGAAUUUAGAAGCAUGACAGCAGAAAAUUAGCACUUUGAGCAAG
rnacentral:lncRNA from 1 species